AAGUCGUAACAAGGUUUCCGUAGGUGAACCUGCGGAAGGAUCAUUAACGUAUCUAAGGCGCUCGGCCUGCGGCUCUGCUCCGAUCGAAAGGUCGUGCAGCGGGCCCGGGCAGACGUCUAACCUUCACAAACCCACUGUGCACCUUUACGGCAGAGGUCCUCGGGCGAGAGCCCUUUGGCCAAAGCCGUCUCUACAAACACUAGUAACAAGAAUGUCAAAGCGACUCUGUCGCCCAUUAAACAUAACAACUUUCAACAACGGAUCUCUUGGCUCUCGCAUCGAUGAAGAACGCAGCGAAAUGCGAUAAGUAAUGUGAAUUGCAGAAUUCAGUGAAUCAUCGAAUCUUUGAACGCACCUUGCGCUCCUUGGUAUUCCGAGGAGCAUGCCUGUUUGAGUGUCUUGAAGUCAUCAACCCCUCCGGUUUUUCUAAACGGGAGACGGUUGGAUAUGGGGGCUUGCUGCCGAAAGGCUGCUCCCCUCAAAUGUGUCGGUUGGACCUGUGGGUCGAACUCGUUGGGCGUUGUAUCAUCCUCGCUCUGACAGAGAUGUUCCCCUUUGGUUGUCCUUCCCCGACUUGCCGACAGAGUGGCAGUCAACUCUUUGAAAUCUGACCUCAAAUCAGGUAGGACUACCCGCUGAACUUAA
rnacentral:rRNA from 1 species